UUACACUUUCAUACAACUUUUUAAGCAAAAGUAUUUCUAAAUAUUAUAGCAGGUGCAAAAACAAAAAGCAAAGAUCUAUCUCUCUAUCUUCCAUCUGCAUUUAAUUAUGCACAGUUAAGAAAGCAAACAUUAUCAUAACAUCUAACUCAUCGACGUUUGAGUAAGAGAUACUAUAUGAAGAAUAUGACCUUAUACGCUUCAUCUGCAAAACAAAUCAUUAAUAGUUAAUGUUCAUCAAGUAAAAUAACAUAUGAAGUUCAUACAUAAAAGACAAAAUUGCAAACAUGGUUUCUGUGGUAUGCAUUUUUUGGGGGUUUUAGUCCAAACCAUGAUUUUUUUGAAUUGAUGGUCCUUUUGAGGUAGUUUUGUUGCGUUUUUGGUCCCUCAGUAAACUGAAAUGACCGUAAUACCCUUGGGUAUUUAUUUUUCAUUUUUCUUUCAUUAUUUUAAAAUCUAAUUGUUUAUUUAUUUAUUUUAAUAAUUAAAAAAGUGGGGCCACCUCUCUCUCUCUCUCUCUCUUGAAAAAGAAAUUCACCCUCCACCCACUUCUUCAUCUUCCCCAAUUCAUAUCAUAUCUGAUGAACACAAAUACACACUUCUAAAUCAUAUGAACACAUGGAGUUUUCAGAUUCUAUUUCUCACACAAACACACAUCUAUAUUUCAUAUGAAGACGGAAAUGUCUAGAGAACGUUGUUUGCGAUUCACAGAUAUGGAAGGAUGUGUGAUAGUGACUGCAGGGGAACGUUAGAAGUUGGAGAUAGCUACAAGACCCGUCAUCUCCAUUCACUCCGAUUCAGCGGUAACCCUAAUCCGAUCUUCAUAGCAACAACGGCAAAACUCUAAUCGGAGUUAGGGUUUGUAGUGGCUCCGGCAACCUCAAGCUUCAUCUUUAUCCUUCUCCGAUUGAUCCAAUCUCACUGCUUUCUACCUAUUUCUCAACAUAUAUACAUACAGAUAAAUGUAGUAAUGAUCACUGACAUUUGUUAGAAUCGAAUUGGUUUUGGAUCUAUUAAUCUAAUUGAAAAGGGAUUGGAAGUGGGUUGAUUUGGGAAUCGAGGUUUGUGUUGAUUGGGAUAUUGUUUCCUCAAAAUCUGUUAAAAACGGUAAUGGGUUUGGAGAGAGAGAGAGAUCUAUUUUGGAGACGGUAAUCUAACCGGGAAUAGCAGCAACAAUAGACGGUAAUCUGUUAAGAUGUUGAAAUUGAUUUUGGAGAAGGAGGAGGGUCACCAAAGGGAAGCGAGAGGGACUUCUUGAUAGUCAUUGAAAUGAGUCUUCUUCUCCUCGAUCCAGGGUGUGUACGUGUGUUUAUAGUGAAAGUGGGUGAAUAACUUUAAGUUUUUUUGUGGGUUAAUCCAAGUUGCUUGAAUCUGAUGUUGAAAUGGAUUAUGAACGAUGUUUGGAUCGUUGGUGGGUUUGCGCACACAGAGAGAGAGAGAGAGAGAGAGAGAGAGAGAGAGAGAGAGAGAGAGAGAGAGAGAGAGAGAGAGAGAGAGAGAGAGAGAGAGAGAGAGAGAGAGAGAGAGAGAGAGAGAGAGAGAGAGAGAGAGAGAGAGAGGUCCAAUUUAAUUAUUUAUUUUCUUUUUCAUUUAAGUUAAAUAGAAAAAACAUAAAAAAUAAAUACCCAAGGGUAUUACAGUCAUUUCAAUUUACCGAGGGACCAAAAACGUAACAAAACUACCUCAAAAGGACCAUCAAUCCAAAAAAAUCAUGGUUUGGACUAAAACCCCAAAAAAAUACAUACCAUAGGGACCAUUUUUGCAAUUGUCUACAUAAAACACAUCAAAUUCAAACACCAUCAAACACCACGUAAACUAGUGCAAUAAAUUUUCAUAUUACAUCCCUACAUUAUAAUAUAACUAUUUAUCCAAACUAUCAAGCCAAUCUUUCCUCGUAUUCUAAGACAUCAUUAAGGCUGGAUGGAGUCGUUGGAAAAGGUAAGGGCGGUACCACCGGGAAACAUUAACGCCAUGGGUUUAGCGGGUUCACGGUUUCAUUGUAUAUAAUUAGGUUGGUGAACUCGUGUCGAGGUGGUAGAAUUGUUUUGUUUUUCUUAGCAACAUUAUGCUUUAUGUAUGUAAGUAUUUUUUCAUCAAUUUAAAAAAGAUUCCCUUGCACACUUCACUCUUUGAAUGCAUGAUUUUAUGUAACUUUGAUUUUGAUUACAUUAAUAAUAUGAUUUAUUUUUUAUUUUUA